UUGAAUGAAACUUCUGGCUGGAUGCUGUUGUGCUGGCCCCUUGUGGCAAUGUGCACACCUCUGGUCAUUUGUUUCUUCUGUUCCACCUGUGCACUGACUGUAGACACGCUGUGUCUAUGAUAUUGGUUACACACACAAUGUUAUGCAUGUUGGCUGGCAUAUAUAAUAUUUAUAUAUA
rnacentral:misc_RNA from 1 species